rnacentral:lncRNA from 1 species
AUCCUCCUCAUCAUGAAGAUGAAAUCUUCACUUUCCUUACUUUUCUGGGGGGAAGGGUGCAAGAGAUAAUCCAAGAAAGAGGGCUAUUGUCUACCUAGUCCUUCACUUGACUUGUGAGGAUUUAGCCAAAGAAAUUCUUUUCAAGAGUGUAAACUACUUGACAGCUUCUAUUCUAUGGUUUCUCUUGUAAGGUACAAACAACAACAGCAACAACAGCAGCA